rnacentral:lncRNA from 1 species
GAUCAGUCAAAUCUAAAAAACGCAGCAAAAGAUGAAACUAGUACAGAAUUUGACAGUAAAAAAGAAGCACUAGUUCCUGUUUUACCCCAAAACAUGGCACUGGUGCCUUUUAUGCCCCGUGAGGCAAAAAAAUUCUCUCCAGCCCCGCAUCAAAUCAAAGACAGCGCAAUCAUCUCUGACUUUGUACCAGCAGCAGCUGAGCCUGUCCUGGACUGUGCAAUUUGCAAUGAAAUUAUGGAGAAAAUUCAGCCCAACAUCCAAGGCUCCAAAAACUUAGAAGAAAUCAAAGAUCUCAUAAUGCGAGCAUGCUUUUCAAUGGUACCCUCGCAUUUCUCUCAGUGUCUAGAAUUCCUACCCAAAUAUGGGCCGCAUUUACGGGACUCUAUUAUUGCUGAUUCAACUGUACCUCCAGCUCAGAUUUGCCUUAACACAAAAAAAACUCAUUUGCUCACCAAAUUCCAAAGAGACGCAAUCAUCGCCCUAUCAGUCGGCUGCUGAUGUAGAAAAUCUGCCUAAGAAAUUGCAUCCACUCGGCACCGGUUCCCUCAUGCGAGCAAUAGCCUUACAAGUUUGUGAGCAUGUAGUCGAGAAGUUUCUUGGUCAACUGGAGAAUGUGUGUACAACAUUUUUGGACCGUCAUUGGCCCGAGGAGAAUCACUAUUAUGAAAGCUUAGAUGGAAUCACAGGAAGUAUCCGGGAUUGUGACGUUUGUCAGGAAAUGAUGACAGUGGUUUCAAUGGAGAAAAAUUUGGAGAAAGGAGAGAAAUUUACUUACCGCAACUCUCUCCACGAAUCUUGUCAAUUUCUUCCCUCAGCUCAUCGGUGGCUGUGUGAUGACAUUGUAAAGAAAUACGGGGACGAAAUGGUACCAUACCUCGAAAGGCAUCCAAAUCAUCCCAUGGACGUAUGUACCAACUUGCAGCCAUCUCCAUGUAAUCCGUAUCGUAGAGGAAGUACUAAGAAUGAUGACAGCGGAGAUGAUAACUCUUACGAUGAUAGGCAGGAUCAAGCAAAAAUGAAUCAACUGUUUGUCAACAAGGUUUUAAUGGAAGUUCGUUACUACAAUGGACCCAAUAUAAGGAUGCAAAAAGGACUGCAUGAAUCGGAUCAAAAGCAAGAAGAUAUUACUCCUGACUGUUUGCUUUGCCAAGAUAUGGUGAAAGAAAUUCGCAAGAUCCUCAUGCUGAAUCACAGUAAAUCAGUACAGGAAGCAACAGAAAAUGUUUGUCAGUAUUUGCCAGAAGCUGCUCGUCACAAUUGCUCAGAAAUAGUUGUAGCCUCCAGCUCUAAAAUUGAAGAGGGAUUGAAGUGGUUCGUUCAUGACAGCCCCGAAUACGUUUGUGAACAAUCAGAACUCUGUGACGCAGAUGUUACUGAUACAGACUCAAAGGAUCCUUGUAAAGAGGGACCAGGAUUCUGGUGUUUAAGCUUCCAAAAUGCAGAACAGUGUAAUCAAAUCGAGUACUGUCAAGCAAAGUAUCGNNNNNNNNNNNNNNNAAUUCUAGCGUUGCUUAUUCUGACGGUGAGGUAAGCUAUUACUGAUUUUUAUCGAGGCAUGGCAAUUUUCUUAUUCGCAUAAUGCUUUU